AAAUGCAUUCCGUAUGGAAGACUAGUGAUUUUGUUGUUUGGUCUUUGUUAAUAACAAUAAAUCCCUUGUCUCCUAACGGCGCGCAUUG
rnacentral:pre_miRNA from 13 species